rnacentral:tRNA from 1 species
GGAGAUAUAGCUCAGUUGGUAGAGUGCUUGUCUAGCAUGCACAAGGCUCUGGGUUCAAUCCCCAGCACCA